UCUCUCUCUCUUUCUUUCUUUCUUCUCUUUAUUUAAAUCCCUACUCAGAUCUCGAUUAAUUAUACCUACGUAAAUAUAAUAUGUUAAUCACUGGUAUAUUACGGGUGGUAAUUGAUUCGGAGGAUACCACCAGGUUCCGUCUUAGCGAUUUCUUUCCUUCUUUCCUUUCUUCAUUCAUUCAUUCAUUCAUUCCUUCCUUCUUCCUCUUUUUCAUCUUGUCGUGUACGUCGAUGAUAUUUCUUUUUUGUUUGUUUGUUUGUUUUUUUUUUCUUUUAGAAAAACGAGGGAUUCGAUUUCUUGGCAUACAGGUAGGACUUUUAUUUUGGAGGAUCCACGUCGUUCUCGGCACCACGUCGCCGUCGCCGUCGUCGUCGAAGUCGUCGUUGUCGUUGUCGUCGUUGUCGUUGUUGUGGUCGUGCUCGUCGAGCAACCUGUUCGAUUACCAUAUAUCUUGGAAGGAAAGGCGACAAUGGCGUGGUGCGCGAGACUACUUUCGCAGAUCGCCAUUCCGUGAUUAUACGUCACGACAUAAUUUAUUGGACCUUGUCAAAGCACGCAGUGCUUUCGUCACGUUUUCUUUUCCAAGUGAGCCACCCACUUUGGCGGAGGGAACGGGAACAUCGACAAUUGAUCGCAAUUGAUCCCAUCGCCAUGGCCAAUGCGACAAUCUCCGAGCGGCAAUCCGUUUGCCACGCGAAACGUUUCAACGCGUAGUAUCGUCUCGCCUUGAAAAUUUAUUCGAGUAUUUUCAAUCGACGAAUUGAUCUAAUCUAUAAGUAAGAUACUUUGGAGAAAGAACUUUGGAGAAAAUUUCCAGAUAUAUACUAAUACACGAUUCUCACGUUCGUAUCUCUUUUCAAGGCAUCUUUUUUACAACUUACACAGAUAAAUAAGCUUACGAGAUUUUCGGCGACUGGAAUAUUUUUCAUACUACAUUCUGUGAUUACAUUCACACACGAUUGAGCGUAUCGUGCGUGGGCGUAGCGCUAAUGAAAGAUAAGAGAUAGUAUAUUUAGAGCUGCUUUCAUACUAACACAGAGCAAUAGGAUUGCGAUAUCAAAUAUCGUUUUUCAUUCCUACCGUAAUAAAGCAAGCAAACGUUCGAAGUUUCUUUUAAAUAAGGGGUCUACCAACUUUAAAUUCGAUAAUGAAUGUAAUCAACAGAAAUAACAUAGAAUCUU